ensembl:misc_RNA 7SK 7SK RNA
GGAUGUGCGGGUGAUAUGGCCGUUUCUCAUCCCACGGAUAGCCAGGGUUGAGUCGGCGGAUCUGGUUGGUUAGGUGGGUGUCCUCUUCCCCUCUCAAUGCUCCAUGUGCAUCCCUCCCCAAGCUGCAAGCUUGGUGGAAGAGGACAACCAUCCCGGAGAGAGGAGGGUAUAUGAGUAGCUGUGCUCCCCUACCAGAACCUCCACACGAGCUCUCAAACCCCAGAGUAGAAAACAAAACAAAUGCAGACCGAUUAAAUUUCUGCAUGUCCUUACCAGUGUUUCAGGUGUCACUGUAUUUCAUU